UGAAUACGAGAUGCUACGGCGUCGAAGCAGUGUAUGUCAGACUUCCAAGAAAAGCUCGCAAUGUCAUAAAUAAAGAAUGCCUGUACCAUAACCGACACAGGUGGGUAGGUAGAGUAUACUAAGGGGCGCGAGAUAACUCUCUCUAAGGAACUCGGCAAAAUAACUCCGUAACUUCGGGAGAAGGAGUGCCUUCUUUAAGAAGGUUGCAAUAACAAGAUCCAAGCAACUGUUUAUCAAAAACACAGGUCUCCGCUAAGUCGUAAGACGAUGUAUGGGGGCUGACGCCUGCCCAGUGCCAGAAGGUUAAAGAAGUUGGUUAGCUUUUGCGAAGCUGAUGACUGAAGCCCUGGUGAACGGCGGCCGUAACCAUAACGGUCCUAAGGUAGCGAAAUUCCUUGUCGGGUAAGUUCCGACCCGCACGAAAGGCGUAAUGAUUUGGAUACUGUCUCGGAGAGGGACUCGGUGAAAUAGACUUGUCUGUGAAGAUGCGGACUACCUGCACCAGGACAGAAAGACCCUAUGAAGCUUUACUGUAACUUGAAAUUGAAAUUGGACUUUAUUUGCGCAGUAUAGGUGGAAGGCGUUGAAAGUAAUCUUGCGGGAUUAGUGGAGCCAUCAGUGAGAUACCACUCCUAUAAUGUUAGAUUUCUAACUUUGGAUCAUGAUCUGGUCAAAGAACAGUUUCAGGCGGGCAGUUUGACUGGGGCGGUCGCCUCCCAAAUGGUAACGGAGGCGUACAAAGGUUUCCUCUGAACGGGUAGAAAUCGUAUCUAGAGUGUAAAGGCAUAAGGAAGCUUGACUGUGAGACCUACAAGUCGAGCAGGGACGAAAGUCGGUCUUAGUGAUCUGACGGUGCUGAGUGGAAAGGCCGUCACUCAACGGAUAAAAGUUACUCUAAGGAUAACAGGCUGAUCUCCCCCAAGAGUUCACAUCGACGGGGAGGUUUGGCACCUCGAUGUCGGCUCAUCGCAUCCUGGUGCGGUAGUACGUCCCAAGGGUUGGGCUGUUCGCCCAUGAAAGCGGUACGCGAGCUGGGUUCAGAACGUCGUGAGACAGUUCGGUCCAUAUCCGGUGUAGGCGUUAGAAUAUUGAGAGGAGCCUUCUUUAGUACGAGAGGACCGAGAAGGACAUACCUCUGGUGUACCAGUUAUCGUGCCAACGGUAAACGCUGGGUAGCUAUGUAUGGAGAGGAUAACCGCUGAAAGCAUCUAAGUGGGAAGCCCACCUCAAGAUGAGUAUUCUCAUC
rnacentral:rRNA from 1 species